rnacentral:sRNA from 1 species
GCCCCGGAGAGCUGCUCUUCCGCUCGGAUCCCUUGGCGUACACGGUGUGCAAGGGGAGUCGUGGCGUUGUCUGCGACCGCUGCCUCCUCGGGAAGGAAAAGCUGAUGCGAUGCUCUCAGUGCCGCGUCGCCAAAUACUGUAGUGCUAAGUGUCAGAAAAAAGCUUGGCCAGACCACAAGCGGGAAUGCAAAUGCCUUAAAAGCUGCAAACCUAGAUAUCCUCCAGACUCCGUUCGACUUCUUGGCAGAGUUGUCUUCAAACUUAUGGAUGGAGCACCUUCAGAAUCAGAGAAGCUUUACUCAUUUUAUGAUCUGGAGUCAAAUAUUAACAAACUGACUGAAGAUAAGAAAGAGGGCCUCAGGCAACUUGUAAUGACAUUUCAACAUUUCAUGAGAGAAGAAAUACAGGAUGCCUCUCAGCUGCCACCUGCCUUUGACCUUUUUGAAGCCUUUGCAAAAAGAUGGAGUCUUGCCAUGUUGCCCAGACUGGUCUUCAACUCCUGGGCUCGAGCGAUCCUCCUGCCUCAGCCCCACAAAGUACUGGGAUUAUAGGCGUGAGCCACUGAGCCCAGCCCUUUCAUUUAUUUAGAGAUCUUAUUUAGUUUAUCCCAAAUGUGCUUGUCUGUUUUGAUUGUGAUUUAAUGUAUGCAACACCUAUUCUAGGAUAGGUAAAGUACAAAGUGCCUUACACUUAAUCCCCCACAAUUACUUCCUGAACAUGGAUUGUUCUCACUGUGUUCACUUGUCAUAACUGCACCUGAGCGUUACAGAGCCAACAAAUGUUGGAACUGGGAUUCAAAGGAGAUCUGCUCACUCCAAAGGCUAUGCUCUUAGUCUCCAGUAGUCAAGAUAACACAUUGGGAAUUCUGUAGAUAAAUAUUUAAAGAUAUUUUUAGCAAUUGUUGCAUGCUUGUUUCUCACCUCCUGCCUCCCUCAACCAAAAAUAAACAUACAAAUUAUACGAGUGGAUA